rnacentral:rRNA from 1 species
UUGACCUCGGAUCAGGUAGGGAUACCCGCGAACAAC